rnacentral:rRNA from 1 species
CCUACGGGUGGCUGCAGUGGGGAAUAUUGGACAAUGGGCGAAAGCCUGAUCCAGCCAUGCCGCGUGUGUGAAGAAGGCCUUCGGGUUGUAAAGCACUUUCAGUGGGGAAGAAAGCCUUGGGGCUAAUACCCUCGAGGAAGGACAUCACCCACAGAAGAAGCACCGGCUAACUCCGUGCCAGCAGCCGCGGUAAUACGGAGGGUGCGAGCGUUAAUCGGAAUUACUGGGCGUAAAGCGCGCGUAGGCGGUCUGAUAAGCCGGUUGUGAAAGCCCCGGGCUCAACCUGGGAACGGCAUCCGGAACUGUCAGGCUAGAGUGCAGGAGAGGAAGGUAGAAUUCCCGGUGUAGCGGUGAAAUGCGUAGAGAUCGGGAGGAAUACCAGUGGCGAAGGCGGCCUUCUGGACUGACACUGACGCUGAGGUGCGAAAGCGUGGGUAGCAGACAGGAUUAGAUACCCUAGUAGUC